GAUGAAGAACGUAGCGAAAUGCGAUAAGUAAUGUGAAUUGCAGAAUUCAGUGAAUCAUCGAAUCUUUGAACGCACAUUGCGCCCGCUAGUAUUCUGGCGGGCAUGCCUGUCCGAGCGUCAUUUCAACCAUCAAGCCCCCGGCUUGUGUUGGGGACCUGCGGCUGCCGCAGGCCCUGAAAACCAGUGGCGGGCUCGCUAGUCACUCCGAGCGUAGUAAUACAUCUCGCUCAGGGCGUGCUGCGGGUUCCGGCCGUUAAAAAGCCUUAUUUACCCAAGGUUGACCUCGGAUCAGGUAGGAAGACCCGCUGAACUUAAGCAUAUCAAUAAGCGGAGGA
rnacentral:misc_RNA from 1 species